UUGAACGCUGGCGGCAUGCCUUACACAUUCAAGUCGAACGGCAGCGCGGGGCAACCUGGCGGCUAGUGGCGAACGGGUGAGUAAUAUAUCGGAACGUACCCUGGAGUGGUGGAUAACGUAGCGAAAGUUACGCUAAUACCGCAUACGAUCUAAGGAUGAAAGUGGGGGAUCGCAAGACCUCAUGCUCCUUGAGCGGCCGAUAUCUGAUUAGCUAGUUGGUGUGUUAAAGGCCUACCAAGGCAUCGAUCAGUAGCUGGUCUGAGAGGACGACCAGCCACACUGGAACUGAGACACGGUCCAGACUCCUACGGGAGGCAGCAGUGGGGAAUUUUGGACAAUGGGCGAAAGCCUGAUCCAGCAAUGCCGCGUGAGUGAAGAAGGCCUUCGGGUUGUAAAGCUCUUUUGUCAGGGAAGAAACGGUGAGGGCUAAUAUCCCUUGCUAAUGACGGUACCUGAAGAAUAAGCACCGGCUAACUACGU
rnacentral:rRNA from 1 species